GUAGUCCUAGCUGUAAACGAUGGGCACUGGGUAGAGGCUGUGUCGAUACUGUCUCUGCCGAAGCAAAUGUGUUAAGUGCCCCGCCUGGGGAGUACGGUCGCAAGGCUAAAACUCAAAGGAAUUGACGGGGGCUCACACAAGCGGUGGAGCAUGUGGUUCAAUUCGAAGCAACGCGAAGAACCUUACCCGGGUUUGAAAUCCACGGAUGGGUCCGAUGAAAGUUGGAUACCCUGCCCGCAAGGGUGAAACGUGGACAGGUGUUGCAUGGCUGUCGUCAGCUCGUGUCGUGAGAUGUCGGGUUAAGUCCCUCAACGAGCGAAACCCUUGUCUCUAGUUGCCAACGGUUCGGCCGGGGACUCUAGAGAGACUGCCGUUGUGAAAACGGAGGAAGGUGGGGAUGACGUCAAGUCAUCAUGGCCUUUAUGUCCGGGGCUACACACGUGCUACAAUGGCCGGUACAAAGGGAUGCUAAGCCGCGAGGUAGAGCAAAACCCAAAAAGCCGGCCCCAGUUCAGAUUGGAGGCUGCAACUCGCCUCCAUGAAGAUGGAAUCGCUAGUAAUCGCGGAUCAGCUACGCCGCGGUGAAUA
rnacentral:rRNA from 1 species